rnacentral:tRNA from 1 species
GCUCUGGUGGUGCAGUGGUUAAGUACUUGGAUGCUAACCAAAAGGUUGGUGGUUCGAACCCACCCAGUUGCU